CUUGGUUCUUUAUGUGUAUAAAAAGGCCGACCCGGCUUCCGAAUAUUGUCAGUUAUAUCCAGACGAUACAACUAGCACUUACUAAAAAUGUUCUCCGUGAAAUUCCUCUUUUUCUUCGCUUUGGCCGUCGCCUGCGUUUUCGCCGUUGAAAGCGAAAGGGUGAAGAAGGACGUCCUCGUAGGUGGCUACCCAUACGCAUACUCAGGACUUUACUCCGGAUACGGUGGUGCAUACGUCCCCACCGCAUACUCUGGCGUCUACGGCGGCUACCCUUAUGCUGCUGGGCUCUACAGGUCCUUCGUCUAUUAAAAACCCUCUCAUGUUCUUCUUCCCCUUUCUUUCUACACGACACCGAUUGGCUAUGUGAUUCUUCAAAGAUUCUUCAAUAAAUCUUUCUCCUAAAACAA